rnacentral:tRNA from 1 species
GCCUUAGUGGUGUAAUGGUAGCACAUUCGGAGCGUAUUCGAGAGGUACAGGUUCGAGUCCCGGCGAGGGCA